AAUGGACGUUGGCGGCAUGGAUUAGGCAUGCAAGUCGAGCGCGAAGAGUCAUUUGCUUGCAUUUGACUCUGAAAGCGGCGUAAGGGUGAGUAACGCGUAGUUACCUACCUCCGGGUCCGGAAUAGCUGCGGGAAACUGCAGGUAAUGCCGGAUAACAUCUCAGGAUCAAAGGUGAGAUUCCGCCCGGAGAGGGGACUGCGUCCUACUAGCUUGUUGGUGGGGUAAUGGCCUACCAAGGCUUCGACGGGUAGCGGGCGUGAGAGCGUGGCCCGUCACACUGGGACUGAGACACUGCCCAGACACCUACGGGUGGCUGCAGUCGAGAAUCUUCGGCAAUGGGCGAAAGCCUGACCGAGCAAUGCCGCGUGCGGGAUGAAGGCCCUCGGGUUGUAAACCGCGAAAGUAAGGAGGAAGGACCUGCGAAGAGCAGGUUUUGACCGAUCUACAGUAAGGACGGGCUAAGUUCGUGCCAGCCGCCGCCGUAA
rnacentral:rRNA from 1 species